UGUGUCAGAGACGCUGUAGAAGGACAGAGUUCCUGCCCUGUGAUCCAGGUACACUCCUAUUCUGGAGGAGCAGGGAACAGGGAUUUUAGUGCUCUUAUUAUU